ACGGACGUCUCCNUNNGGGGGGACUGCGGAGGGAUCAUUACACAAAUAUGAAGGCGGGCUGGAACCUCUCGGGGUUACAGCAAUGCUGAAUUAUUCACCCUUGUCUUUUGCGUACUUCUUGUUUCCUUGGUGGGUUCGCCCACCACUAGGACAAACAUAAACCUUUUGUAAUUGCAAUCAGCGUCAGUAACAAAUUAAUAAUUACAACUUUCAACAACGGAUCUCUUGGUCCUGGCAUCGAUGAAGAACGCAGCGAAAUGCGAUAUGUAGUGUGAAUUGCAGAAUUCAGUGAAUCAUCGAAUCUUUGAACGGACAUUGCGCUCUAUGGUAUUCCAAAGGGCAUGCCUGUUCGAGCGUCAUUUGUACCCUCACGCUUUGCUUGGUGUUGGGCGUCUUGUCUCUAGCUUUGCUGGAGACUCGCCUUAAAGUAAUUGGCAGCAGGCCUACUGGUUUCGGAGCGCAGCACAAGUCGCACUCUCUAUCAGCAAAGGUCUAGCAUCCAUUAAGCCUUUUUUUCAACUUAAGACCUCGGAUCAGGUAGGGAUACCCGCUGAACUUAAGCAUAUCAUAANUCGGAANGGAAGUCCGUA
rnacentral:rRNA from 1 species